CCUACGGGGGGCAGCAGUGAGGAAUAUUGGUCAAUGGGCGCGAGCCUGAACCAGCCAAGUAGCGUGAAGGAUGACUGCCCUACGGGUUGUAAACUUCUUUUAUAAAGGAAUAAAGUGAGGCACGUGUGCCUUUUUGUGUGUACUUUAUGAAUAAGGAUCGGCUAACUCCGUGCCAGCAGCCGCGGUAAUACGGAGGAUUCAAGCGUUAUCCGGAUUUAUUGGGUUUAAAGGGUGCGUAGGCGGUCGGGUAAGUUAGCGGUGAAAUCCCGGGGCUCAACUUCGGACUUGCCUCUGAUACUGGUCGGCUAGAGAGUAGGAGAGGUAGGCGGAAUGUGUGGUGUAGCGGUGAAAUGCUUAGAGAUCACACAGAACACCGAUUGCGAAGGCAGCUUACC
rnacentral:rRNA from 1 species